rnacentral:rRNA from 1 species
AUGGAUCUAAUCCGCCAAAUUUUUAAUCCCCCUGAUGCGGCAGCAAUCUUUAACAUUCCUCUACGGGUGGUAGGCAGUGAGGACACUUUAGCAUGGGCUUUGGAAAGGUCAGGACAUUACACUGUCAAAUCGGCGUAUCGAUCUCUCAUGACUCGCAACGAGCUUAGUUCUCCAGAGGAAGGGACGGUAACGGAGGCAUCACCGAACAACAAACAGUUGUGGACUGCACUUUGGAAGCUCAAUGUGCUACCAAAGAUCAGAGUAUUCUGGUGGAGAGCCCUCCGCGGGAUCCUACCAGACUAUGCGACUCUACAUCAUCGGCACAUCAAAACGAGUGGCCGAUGUGAUAUUUGUCAAGCUACAGAUGAAGAUCUGAAGCAUGCUUUGGUGACUUGCACGCAUGCAAGCAUGUUUUGGGUGGCAGCUAGAGAUCGAUUCGACUUAUAG